rnacentral:rRNA from 1 species
ACCCUCGUACCUUUUGCAUCAUGAAAAACAAGAAAACCUCAAGCAAAGCGACCUAAAGUUUGAGACCCCGAAACUGAAGCGAGCUACUCCAAGACAGCCUUAUAUAGGGCACACCCGUCUCUGUGGCAAAAGAGUGGGAAGAUCUUUAAGUAGAGGUGACAAACCUACCGAGCUCAGUUAUAGCUGGUUGCCUGAGAAAUGAAUAAAAGUUCAGCCCUUUAAUCUCUUAACCCCUAGACGAUAAUCCCCAACAGGCAAUGAAAGACUUAAAAGAGUUAGUCAGAAGAGGUACAGCUCUUCUGAAAAAGAUACAACUUAUUCAAGAGGUUAAAGAUCAUAUAUUAGACAGGGACUUAACCAGGUGGGCCUAAAAGCAGCCACCCCAACAGAAAGCGUUAUAGCUCAACUAAAAUCGCCCCAUUUAUAACGACAACCAAUCUUCAACCCUUAACAAUAUCAGGCCGCCCUAUGCCUCAGCCAUAGGAGAGACUAUGUUAAUAUGAGUAACAAGAGGGCCUGCCCCUCUCCAAACACCAGUGUAUAUCGGAACGGACACCCCACCGACCAUUAACGACCUCACAACCAGAGAGUACUACAAAAUACUAAACAAGAAAAAUUUGUACCUAAACACCGUUAACCCUACACCGGAGUGUAAUAAGGAAAGACUAAAAGAAAAAGAAGGAACUCGGCAAACACCACCAGCCUCGCCUGUUUACCAAAAACACCGCCUCUUGCAAAACAAGAAUAAGAGGUCCCGCCUGCCCUGUGACAUCUAGUUUAACGGCCGCGGUAUUUUGACCGUGCGAAGGUAGCGUAAUCACUUGUCUCUUAAAUAGGGACCUGUAUGAAUGGCAACACGAGGGCUUAACUGUCUCCUUUUUCCAGUCAGUGAAAUUGAUCUCCCCGUGCAGAAGCGGGGAUAAAAACAUAAGACGAGAAGACCCUAUGGAGCUUAAGACACCCCCUAACCUAUGCGAAGAUUCUUAAAUCAAAAAGAAAGAGCUAAAUAGGCCUUAGUAAGUGUCUUUGGUUGGGGCGACCACGGGGGACAAUAAAGCCCCCAUGCGGAAUAGGACAUCUCCUUAACCUCAGAGCCACCGCUCCAAGUAACAAAACAUUUGACCACCAGAUCCGGCAGUUCCAAGCCGAUCAACGAACCGAGUUACCCUAGGGAUAACAGCGCAAUCCCCUCACAGAGCCCAUAUCGACGAGGGGGUUUACGACCUC